rnacentral:lncRNA from 1 species
CAGGAUUUUUGGAGGGAAAAUUCACCUUGAAUAAAAGCCAUUACUGGCGUUUAAGGGAAACUCUGACGCUGACGUGUUAACCUUUAGAAGUGCUGAUAAACGCAGAGUUGUGUGCGAAACGUGGGAAAGUGGACGGCAAAUAGACUGUAAUCGCCUCGCUCGCAGCUUGUUGACCUUAAUGCUGAUCUGUAUGCAUCUUCUGAUGGUUGCCAGAUCCUCAGUCAGAAGGGAAUUUGAUCACUGAUCCAAAUUAAAAUCAUCAGUAAAUUGGAGCAGCUGAUUGCCUGAGCGCCGCUGAGAGCUGUUGCUGAGGGCUGUGAGGUGUCAGUGCUGUUCUGGAGAGUUAAUUAAACCCUGCUGCCCCUCAGUUCCUCGUCAGACGUGUCUCAGGGCUUCAGGCUCAGUAUUUACGAGGCAGCACGAGCGCCGGGCGAGAGACAGACAGAUUGCAGCUCCGCCGGCACGUGGAGGAAGACGAGAAACAGUAAAGGACAGCGAAAGAGAGGACGAUGCACUCCACAGACUGCAUCCACAAAGUGCCAAAAAGGACAACAGGAGAAAACGGAGCAACCCAAGACAAGAGCUGGAUCGUCCCGCAGAAGUAAGUGUGCCCAAAACACCUCGGAGGAAUUGCCACUUAAUUUCCAGAAGUUCAAGUCUAGGAGAACAAAGUUUACCAGGGCGACUGGAUGCUGCUUGUAGAAGGACAUGCGUGUUAUUCACAUGCACGUGAAUUACAGUUCAUUUUGUCUGUUUUUAAAUCUAAGUCAUGAGUUAAAUUCUGGUUAAAAAGGACACGAAUCACAGAUGAUUUGGGGGGAAUUGCAUG